rnacentral:rRNA from 1 species
UACGUAGGGGGCCAGCGUUGUCCGAAGUUACUGGGCGUAAAGAGCGUGUAGGCGGGUCUUUAAGUGAGAGGUGAAAGGUUCAGGGGCUCAACCCGAACACUGCCUUUCAUACUGGGGACCUUGAGGGCGGGAGAGGCGAGUGGAAUGGUCGGUGUAGCGGUGAAAUGCGUAGAUAUCGAUCGGAACACCCAUGGCGAAGGCAGCUCGCUGGCCCGCAUCUGACGCUGAGAACGCGAAAGCGUGGGGAGCAAACAGG